GCUUGUCUCAAAGAUUAAGCCAUGCAUGUCUUAGUGUAAAUAACUCUUAUGAAACUGCGAAUGGCUCAUUAAAUCAGUUAUCGUUUAUUUGAUGGUCCCUUACUACAUGGAUAACCGUAGUAAUUCUAGAGCUAAUACAUGCACAAAGGCCCGACUCACGGAGGGCUGUAUUUAUUAGAUACAACCAACCCUUCGGGUCCCUGGUGAAUCAUAAUAACUUAGCGAACCGCAUGCUUCGGCGGCGGUGAUUCAUUCAAGUUUCUGCCCUAUCAGCUUUCGAUGGUAGGGUAUUGGCCUACCAUGGCUUUAACGGGUAACGGAGAAUUAGGGUUCGAUUCCGGAGAGGGAGCCUGAGAAAUGGCUACCACAUCCAAGGAAGGCAGCAGG
rnacentral:rRNA from 1 species